GCCUAGCACCCUGGGUGGGGAGGAGCAGGCAGCUAGCUGGAGCCUCUGGCCCUUUUAAAAGAGGCCCCAUUCCCUGGGCCUCGAAGUCCUGGCCGCUUUUUCCUCCAUCCCGGGGUUUUCUGACAAAAGGGGAGCAUGCUAGUGUUUGAAAUGGCCUCACCUCUUGCUAUUUUUGCAGGAAGCCUGAACGCAGUUGUUAAAAAUAGAAAUAAUGAAAGAAAGCAGCAGCUUCUGCCCUUGAGUCCUGAGGCCAGGACAGGACUCCCAGGAUCCUCUCCGGGAUUGUGAUGAUAAAUGAUCAUUGGGCUGCAUUUGUCCUUAGCUAAUUUAUCCUUGGCCUAGAGAGAAAGUUUCUGCCUUUUUUUUUUUUUUAAGAGGAAAGCUGGAAAGGUGCUUGAGGCCUAAUAUCUUUGCUUGGUCUUUUUUGGGCACUGGGCCCUGCAUUUUCCACCUGGCAAUGCUGUGUGGGGCUUGUUCCAGGCGCUCUGUGGGCCUCAUGCCGCCUGUGCUGGCUGGAGCCAGCGUGGCGAUCAGACGUCUGGGUGUGCCCGGCACGACCCCACCUCGCUGCUCCCCUGAGCUCUCCUUCCCCUGCAGAGGGGCCAAGAAGCACCCCUGGGAGGCCCCGAGUGUCAGCAAGAAAGGUACAGCAGGGCGGGGCCAGGACA
rnacentral:lncRNA from 1 species